ACUCUAAAUAUUUACUGUAUGGUCCUUUAUAGAUGAAGUUUGCUGGUCUCUGCUCUAGAUAGUGCCCAGUACUAAAAUUGCAAGUACUAAAACUGUACACCCAGUAAUUUCUUUUCCUUGUUUGCAAGUCUUGGAUAAUUUUUUCCAAUAGAGAGAAACACACAUCCUUUCCCUCACGAAGGUUAUAUGUUUGCUAAGUUCCUCACACCCCAACUUAUUAAGCAUUUAAACAAUUCUGAAACCUCCAGGUUACAUGUGCAAACAACCCACUUCUUCCUCUUAACUAUAAUCAUAGUACUAUUCACAGUCUGUUUAUCCCCAGACUGCAUUCUUUGAAGGAAUGUCUUGUUCCGCUUUGUACCUGUAGCACUAUGUGUAGUAUUUGGUGGAUGCUCAAUAAAUUUUUCUUGAAUGCAUUAACACCUAUAUCUCUGGUAUGGCCUCCUCUCCUGAUGUUUAUCCAUUUGUAUAAGAUUACAGUGUUAUUCAUAAAUAUUAAGUAAUUACUUGAUAGUGAUGAAUAAACUGAUUUAUUAGAGUUCAUUGAAUUGUUUGGCAUUCUGAUUUUCAGAUUUCACUACUUAGAUAAUCCUGUACAAAUCCUUGCACACAUUAUCUCCCAUUCAUUUGAAUUAUUUUCAUGGAAUAUAUUCCCACAGUGGAAUUUUAUUCAUUUGACAGUAUGAAUAUGCCAGGCUAGGGGCGCCUGGCUGACUCAGUCAGAAGAGCAUGUGACUCUUGAUCUCAGUGUUGUGAGUUUGAGCCCCACGUUGGGUGUAGAGAUUACUUAAAAAUAAAAUCUUUAAAAAAACAACCCCCACCCCCAAAUAUGCCAGGCUAAGUCAUGAAUUUUAAGCAUGGGAAUAACAUUUCUACUCUAGGUUUGCUGCUUUGGAAUUUAUAACUUCUCUGACUCUUCUGAGCUCCCUCUUAUGAACUUUCACCUUAUUCUUUCAUGUUCCCUUUAUUUAUUUUUUAAAAUAUUUUAUUUAUUUUUGGGAGAGAGAACACAAGCAAGGGAGGAGCAGAGAGAGAAGGGGACAGAGGAUCCAAAGCAGGCUCCAUGCUGACAGCAGCAAGCCUGAUGUGGUGCUCAAAGUCAUGAACUGUGAAAUCAUGACCUGAGCCAAAGUCGGAUGCUCAACCCACUGAGCUACCCAGGUGCCCCUCCAUUCUGCCUUUAUUUUAUUUUAUUUUAUUUUUCCAUUCUCCCUUUAAAACGUCCAGUUACCUCUAUACAAAUUGAAGAUGAGUUCAGUUUGUGUUAGACUAUUUUCCCUAUUGCAAUAGUAUAUUACUGAUUGAAUCUGUCCUAAUCACUUGACUAAUGUCCAGGUUUUUUUUUCAUCUUUGACAACAACCAAACCUUAAAACAUUCUCAUUCAUGAAUUCAUUUAUGUAUUUGAUUAGUCAAGAAAUCUUUUUUGGACACCUUUACCAGGUGUGCUAUGUGUUAUGUGUUAGGGAUAAAGACACAGAAAAUACAUCCUUUGCUGUUGAGGAGCUCUGUGUCUAAAGAAAGGAUAGGUAUGCAAUUACUCUUCAAUGAGAUAAGAUCUAUACUGGAACACUAUACAGGUGAUUUGUUUAUUUUCCUGUUUUCCCUCUCUGACCAGUCCUUUUCUGUCUCUUUUUCCUACUCCUUAAAAGUAGGUGUUCUCUAUAAAUGACCUUUGUUCCUUUCUCAUUCUAUAUAGUCUCCUGACAACCAUAGGGCUCCAACUCUCAGAUUCUUUGCAGCUUACUCCUAAAUGCCAGUACAGAUUCAAUGUGUCCAUUUCCUGAUUUGUUCAUGCAACUUACUCUCUGUAUAUGAAAUACCCUUUCUUCCACAUUUGCAUGUUCAGGUUUAUCCAUGCUUUGAGAUCCAUCUCCUCCACAUGCUACUUCUCUUGUGAAGCUUAUUUUGAUUCCUUUCACAGCUUCUGCUGAAUUCCUCUACUAUUUGAGGGGCAAUAUAGCAUUAUGGCUAACGGCUUGAGUUCUGGUGAAAGCUGCAGCUGGGCUGCAUUCCAGUUUUGCUUCAUUUUCUUUAUAAAAAAUGGAGAUUAAAGUAGUUACAUUUUUAUUGAUUGAAAUCUCUGUCUCUAGCUUGGACUGAUUGCUUAGGGUUCAGUUCCACAUCAUCUAAUGCAUUUAUUUGUAAGAAUAUACCACACAAUCUCAAACUUAAUGUAUGUGUUCAAAAGGAAACAUCUUUCCCCAGAACCUAUGCAUCCUUGAUUUCCUAUCUAUCAGUAAAAACUGUAGCACCAUCCUUCCAGUCAACCUGACUUUAAAACUCUCUCCCUGUCUCCCCCUGCCUUCUCAUCCAAUGGUUUGCUACUAAAGAAAGGAUAUUCUUUACUGUAUUCAUAGUCAUUGUGUGCCAAAUUCUAUCACAUUAGUUCCGUAACACUGAGAAGUGUUAAAGGGAUUGUCCCUUUUCUUCCCCCUCAGUUCCAUAUUUACUGCCCUAGUUUAGAUCCUUAUUCUUUCACAGACCUUUCCUGUCACCUUAUAAACUAUUUAAGGAUAGUAACUUUGUUAGGAAUAGUAAACAAAGGAUAGUGCUUUGUUUACUUUUUCCUUUCAUUAAGACUGAGCUAAAAAACAAUAAAUAUUUGUUAAUUUAGUUAUUUAUAUUAAAUUUCUCUAUGGAGGCAUUGGGAGACAUUUCCCAAGGGAUAAGGAACUUGAGGAAAGAGUAAACUUUUAAUGACCUUGUUGAAUAGCUUAAAGAUAGUCAUAAAGUUGGUAGAGGGAACCCCUGCAUCAGGGUUCUUACCCAGUCCCCUUUUCUCUCCUGCCUGAGGCCUCCCAAAGAGGCAGCAACAAUGCCAAACCUGGGUGUUUUGGUCUUACCCUCUUGAGAUUCUUACGUUCUCUUCACUACCUACUUUCCUGGAUCCCUCUCACCUUCCCUCUCAUUUACUGGAUUUUAGAGUCUUAGCUCUCAGCUACCUGCCAGCUAAACACAAGUGUAAACUCCAAAUGCUGGAGAACUUUCAAGUACUGUACUUGGAAACACUAAUGAAGACUGAAGCAUGGAGGACUGGCUUUCUAUCCCUGUUUGAGUUGCUUCUGAAGAUACACUUACCUUGCUGAUGAGUAUAAAUGGUCCUGGUCAAGUGUCUAGAGGGCAAGAAGACCUCAUUGCCUUUUUCCUCUGAACUUUAAACUGGGAAACUGGGAUGCCUCAGAGCUUUCAUCACAACCUUUAGACAGUGACCCUUGCUCUGCUUACCUUCUCUUUACCUCCCAGCCACAUUCCUCCCUUUGUAUCCACAGCCUAAGUAAUAACAAACAUGUAUUGGACAUGCAUCAGGUAAUUUAAAUGCAGUUCCUCGUUUAAGCCUGGAAACUAUCUUAUAAAGUAGUUACUAUCAUUAUUCUUUGGGAAAUUGAGGUCAUGUAGCUUGCCCAAGGUAACAAGUAUCAGAGCUAGGACUCAAAUCUAGGUAUGGUAUGCAGAUUUCUGAGAUGGUUCCCCAAAGAUGGCUGCCCCAAUGAGGCAGCUCCUGGUGAUAUUCAUUUCCUUGUGUAAUCUUCUUCCCUAAAAUGUGACUUGCUUCUGAUGAAUAGAAUACAGCAAAAACUAGGGGAAGUCACUUCUGUGAUUAUGUUAAGAAGACUGUAACUUCCAUCUUGCUAGCAGACUCUAUUGCUUUCUCAGUUUGAAUGCUUCGAUGAAGCAAGCAGCCAUCUUGUCUCAGACAAGGAACUGAGACAAGCCAAUAGCCAAUAAGGAACUGAGGCUUUCAGUUCAAUAGCUGAAGAGAAAUUGAGUCCUGCUAACAGUCACAUGAAUGAGCUUGAUAGUGGAUCCUGUUGCAAUCAAGCUGGCGCUUUGAUAGCAGUCUGUAAAAAAACCUGAACCAGAGGACCCAAUCUAGCCCUACUCAGAUUCUUGACCCAGAAACUAUAAGAUAAUAAAUGUUUAAGCCAUUACAUUUUGGAGUAGUUUAUUACAUGACAAUAGAUGAUACACCAGGUGGAUCUGACUGGCUUCAAAGUUCAUGCGCUUCACAAUUUUACAAAGGACAGCUGGGCUAAAUAGCUAGGUAGUUCAACCUCCAGCAGCCCAGAGAAUGCCCAUUAUUUUUAUGGUCAGCAUCUGUGUUGAGUGGGCUGGCUGAGUGCCCUGGUCAAAAUCUUCCUCAGGAUUAUUAUUCCAAAUUUGGAUGAGCACUGGGAAGAUCAAGUCGUCUUCUUUAGGCUCUUGCUAUAGCAUUUGGAGGGUCACUUUCUCAUAGCAACUUUUCCAGUGAGAAAAAUCAUCUGAUAGGUUUGUUUUUGGAGGGCAAAGACCAUGUUAGAUUGACGGACACUCCCUGAGUCUAGCAGGCAGAAUCCUAUGGGACCAAGAACUUGCAAAUGCUGACACCCAAGCUGGGCUACUGAAACCUUAGAAAGCAUGUCCUCUAAUGAUGCUCAGCCCUGGCAUCACAUUAGAAUCACCUGGGGAGCUUUUAAAAAUAGUUUGAGAGUUACCCCAAACCAAUUGAAUCAGAACUGUGGCAUGGAGGGGGUGUUGGAUCUGUACAUUAUACUACGGGUCUUCAUGUUUUCUGCUCUGGUCUUUUUCACUUCCUCAUAUGUGCAUAUGUCAUCUUACCAGAAGUCGUAGCUUAAAAUGCCUAUUUUCCCUUUAUCCUUCAUUCAGUAAAUAUUACGGACUGAUUUCUAUGUCCCAAGUACUAUUAUAGACAUUGGAGAUACAAUAGCAUGCAGGAAAAAAAGGUCUAGGGGGGCCUGGGUGCCUCAGGUGGUUAAACGUCUAACUCUUGAUUUCGGUUCAGGCUAUGAUCUCACAGUUCCUGAGUUCCAGCCCCUUGUGGGGCUCUGUGCUGAUGGUGAGGAGCCUGCUUGGGAUUCUCUCUCUCUCCUCUCUCUGUCCCUGCCCUGCUUGUGCAUUCUCUCUCAAAAUAAAUAAACUUAAAAGGAAACAAGAUCUAGAUAAGAACUGACGUCUCCAAGGGGUGCCUGGGUGGCUUGGUUAAGCUUCCCAUUCUUGGUUUUGGCUCAGGUCAUGAUCUCAUGGUUGGUGAGUUGGAGCCCCAAAUCUGGCUUGCUGCUGUCAGUGCAGAGCCCGCUUUGGCUCCUCUUCCCCCCCCCCCUUCAAAAAUAAAUAAAACAAACAGAAUUGAAGUCUCCAAACAUUUUACUUUAUGCUCACUCAGUUAUUUUCCUUUGUUUUUUCUGUAGUUGGUAAUUAAAACCUGCCCGUGGUACGAUCUUGUUAAAUUACCAUAAGUAGGUGCUCGGUGGGCUCCAAUGGCUAGACUCUUUAAAGAAGUCCGAUGAAAAUUCUUCAAUCAAAAGAAUCUUGGGUGGGAGCUCUGUCCACGCGGGAGGAGCAGAGGGCUUCAGUUAUCUCCUGACACAGGUGUGGGGAAGCCCCUCCCUCUCAGUGCCAAGCCUUAUUAGAGGGAGGAGCUGUCUUCUUGCACGUAGGGAAAGAGGAAGGAAACCCCACCUCUUAUGGGCUUAUGGGAGGAGGGGUCGGCGGACUAGGCGUGAGUUGAUUGGCUGAGAGGCGGAGCGCCACGGGUUGGCUCCUUCUAGGAGCUCUCCCGGAGCCCUGUGGGGUGAAGCCGGGGUGGGAGAGAGUCCCGGUAGCUCCUGCCUCCUAGCGAUGGCGCCGUGGUGCCGCGCCCAGUCUCCUGCCUGCUUGCCCGUACUCACAGCUAUCGGGAGUGCGGUCAGACGUUGAGAAUUGAAGCGGGUUCAAGGGAGCGGCGGGACGCUGCCUGCCACGGGGACCAUGUGGAGAGGUCAGACCUGUGGGGCCGAUUACGGGAACAGCCGCGGCACCUGCUGAGAGGAAAGAGGGAGCUGCCGGGUGCGGCGGCGACUUGCCAGCGCCUCGGCCAUGUCGCUGCUCUGUGUGCGCGUUAAAAGAGCCAAAUUCCAGGGUUCACCAGAUAAAUUUAACACCUAUGUGACCCUGAAAGUGCAGAAUGUGAAGAGCACAACUGUAGCAGUUCGUGGUGAUCAACCUUCUUGGGAACAAGAUUUUAUGUUUGAGAUUAGUCGCCUGGACCUGGGUCUGAGUGUGGAGGUAUGGAACAAAGGACUGAUCUGGGACACCAUGGUGGGGACCGUGUGGAUUGCACUGAAGACAGUUCGUCAGUCGGAUGAGGAAGGGCCUGGAGAGUGGUCCACGUUGGAGGCAGAGACACUGAUGAAAGAUGAUGAGAUAUGUGGAACUAAAAACCCAACUCCUCAUAAGAUUUUGCUUGAUACAAGAUUUGAGCUGCCUUUUGAUAUCCCAGAGGAGGAGGCCAGAUACUGGACUUACAAAUUGGAGCAAAUCAAUGUCUUGGGAGCUGACAGUGAGUAUUAUAUUCAAGAAGAAAGCCAGAGGAAGCCAUUACCCACUGCUGCCGCCCAGUGUUGUCACUGGACCUAUUUGGGCUGGGGAGAGCAGCAGACUUUUGAAGAUCCUGACAGUGCCGUUGAUGACCGAGAUAGUGACUAUCGUAGUGAGACCAGCAAUAGCAUCCCACCUCCUUACCAUACGACUUCCCAGCCCAAUGCUUCUGUGCACCAGUUUCCUGUGCCUGUGCCAUUGCCACAGCAGCUGCUACUUCAGGGCAGUUCCCGGGAUUCUUGCAAUGACUCUAUGCAAAGUUAUGAUCUUGAUUAUCCAGAGCGGAGGGCCCUCAGACAAGACUUGCAGGCUAAGAAUGACAAAAUUAGGAUUAUUUCAGCUUUCUCUGAUGUUGACUAUGAAGAGCAAGAAGGUACAUAUGAGGAGAUAGAGGGGGAAAUACCACAAGAGUUUCUAGAAAACAGUAACAUAAAGGAAGCAAAAGUAAAAGAAAUUAGAACUCUUUCAAAAACUGAUAAAUCUUACAGCCGUCAAGAACAACAGAAGUACAAGAAUUGGGAAAAGAUACCAUCACAGGGCCAAGAAACUGAAUUCUCUACUGCCUUUAAUUUUGACCUUAAGUAUGAAACAUCUGUGUUCUCCAGUUAUGCUCAGAAAUAUGAUACAGUAGAUAGGAGAAGAAAAAAUAAACCCUUAUACCGUGAUUUUGAACACAGUCAAAGAACACAGUACAAUGAAAGAUCAGAAACUAAGACUGACUUCAAAAGUACAUAUCCUGACACUGAAAAUUGUAACAUUUGCCACACUGAAAAGAAGAAACAAAAUUACCCAAUUUUGCACCCUUAUAAAAACGGCUUUGUGGUCAAGAGUGGCAUCUGGACCACCAAGUUGGAAAAUCAUGAUUACGAUCUUUCUGGUGAUUACAAGAACUGUGAAAAAUCAUCUGGCUUAAACCAGCAUGUCACUAAUUUCACUCCAUUAGAUAUUCUUGAAGAUUCUACUAGUAGUACUUCUGAGGAACUUCUGAGCUCUCCUCUCACUGAUAAGCCAGAAGGUUUACUGUCACCAAUAAGUCAUCCAUCCAAUAUCCAUCAUAGUGGAGGCUUUCCUGAAGAAUACAAUGUAACAAAUCCAGCAUUCCCAUUACAAAAGAUGAACUGUGAUGCAAACACACUUGGAGAUCUGUCUGGGUGCCCCAUGGAAGAGAUGACCCCUCCCUCUCUUGAGGAACCCAAGGAGGACUAUGUUGAUACAAUGGAUGAGCUUCAGUGUUUGGUAGAAACUGUGUCAGAAUAUUUAGCAGAGAAAGAAGAGGAGAUUAAUGGAUUUGGUUCCCUUUCACGAACUGAAAAAUCACUUAAACACAAUAGUACUGGUAAUAAUGCAGAACAGAAAAUGCUUGGAGAUCAAAUACCACCUUUAACCAUUGUAAAGAAUGACAAGGACAAGGCUGUCUCUUUCCCUGAGCUGAAUGGAGUGAAAUGUGCUGUUGGUUCUUUGUUCAGUUCACUUACAGAAAAGGUAGGUUCGGGAACAAAGCAUCUAACAACCUCUGUGGAAAAGCUGGUUUAUUUAGUUCCAGAGAAAACAGAAACUCUUGAUCAGAUAGAGACGACUAAUUCAGGAUCUAAACCCAGAGCCAAGUCUGUAUUGGGGAAGGAUCUUUCCAUGCGAUCUCCAUUAUCCUCUCACACAGUUGAUAAUAAAGAUUUUGGCAGAAAUGACAAAACUUCUGAAAAUGAGCACACAGGUGGUAAAACUGGAAAUUUAAGCCUUCAGGAUGCAACAGAGACUACUGGAAGGGACUCCACUCCACAGAGUCAGAGUUCAGUUAUAAAGUCUGUUUUCAGCAUGUUAAAUCCAUUAAAGAUCUUUUCCGAAAAGGAUGAAACCAAAAAAGAUGACCAGAACAAGCCAACAAGAAAGGAAAGCUUUGUUGGGUGUGGUUCAGAGUCAAAUCAAAGGAAAGACGCCCUUGGCAAUGACAAUAAAAUCAUCACUUUAGAUAGGCAUGAUGGAGAAACUACAAGCUCAUCCCAAAUGCCCACAAGUGAAGAUUUGUUGUCUUCCCAAGUGACCAAUGAACCUUCAAGCUUAGGUGGUUCUGCAAAUAAAAAAGAUGAUAUUGAGAGUCUCUUGGAAAGAAAACCCUGUACAGAUUUGUCUCUGGUACCACAUCAACCAAAAAUAUGUGCCCCAAACACGGUAGGACAUCCUUGUAUAGCUGGCAGUACAACUGCAAAUAGAGAGUCUUCUUCAAAGACAGUAGAGGGGGAGAAAGUUACUGGUGAUGAUGAUUUUCUUGAGCCACUCAGAAAAUCCUUUAGCCAGUUUUUGCUCACUUCACCUGAGACCUGUUCAAAGGAAACUUUGUCAGAAUCUAUGAAAAUUCACCAGUUGGAGGAAGAUGGAUGGGAAAGGGGCCAUAAGAAAAAUGGACAUUCCUUUUCCUUUAAUAGAAAACUACAUAUUCCAUUUUUCAGAGUUCUUAGUCAUUCUGAGAAACAGCAAGAUUUAAGAGAGAAAGGAAGCAUUUUUCCUCUUUUUAAAUUUCCUUUCACUGAUGGUCGUACCACUGUCAAUGACCAGAGUUUUCCUGACUCAGCAGUAACUGUUGAUGAAGAGAUCCAAAGAAACUGCCAUGAAAAUGCCAAACUUAAUUUAAUAAAAUCUAGUUCAGUUCCAAAUAUUCAUAAUAAUUUAGGGAAACCUGGUGAUACAGAAACAUUUAAUAAAAAUGACCAAAUAAAUUGUCCUGAAGAUACCACACUUAAUAGAAUAAAGUCUAAUUCUGUUCCAAUUAUUAAUAACGAUCUUGGGAAAUUUGGGAAUAUAGAGAAAUUGAAUUCAAGUGAUCACACAGCAGCAGAGAACUGUCAGAUAGAUACUUUAGCCAUCCCUGAAGUUGUGUCCAAAGAAUAUAUUCCUUCAGAUUCUUCAGAAGAAAGUAAGACUCUUACACAAGUGACAUCUUUAACAGUAUCAGACUCAUUAACAUUUACUUCUACCAUUUCAAAAUCCACCUUGGUUAAUGAAAUUAAUGAAGACAGACUUGUAGAUAAAGCCUCUAAGAAAAGAAUCCAAGGAGGCCUCCUUUCUGGCCUAUUUAACAGGUUUUCUUCUCUUGAAAACUUGUCUAAUCAGCAAGAAUUAAAUUUGAAAAGUGGUGACUCUCAUCAUAAUAAUAAUACUCCAGGAUUACUCUCUGGAAUAUUUAACUUGAUACACAAUAACAAUGUGACUGAUUGUAAACCAGAUGAGGCAAAGUCCAUGUCUUUAGGCAAUAUAAAAAGUUUGAAUGGAAAUAAACAUUUAUCUGUGGAUGAGAUCCCUGUUACUUCAUGUGUGACUUCUGAGAAUCAGAGGAACCAUGUUGAUAAAGAAGAAACAUCUGGCUUAAUAAAAAACUUUAUAUCUUUACCUAAAGAAAACAUACCAUUAUCUGAUGCUUGGGUUGAUAAUGAUCAUUGCUCUCCUAUGUGGAAAAACCAGCUAAGUGAAAAGAAUUGCCCCUCUUCUGAGGACAGGAUACUUGACUUUGCUCCGAGCACUCAGCAGGGCCUCUUAGAGAAAUCUUUGGCUGAGAGGCUGACACCACACCAUGUUCUUAAGGAGAAAAUACAUGAAAAUUCAAACAAGUUAAACCCACAUACAUUAAAUACUAACAUUCUUAAUAAAUCAAACCACUAUCAGGCUUUUGAAGAGAUGAAUAAUCCUUUCUGUUCUGAAUGGGACUCUGAUAUAAAAGAUUUCUCUAAAAAUUCCAGAAAACUUCAGCCAGUUUAUUAUAUGCUAAAUCAAAAUACAUUCCCAUCAGCUGAUGUUUUCUUGUGGCCUGACUCAGAAAGCUCAGCAAUAAAUUUUUGCCAAAAGGAUCAAACUGCAAAUAUCUUGGAGUGGAAAACAAAUCCAAACAGUGUCAUUUGGCGUGACUUACCAUAUGAAUCAUUGGACCAGUUAGCAUUUAAUGAAGAUAACUUAUUAAGAAGUGAUAUGUGGGCAGCUCACUCAUUUUAUGGAAAUUCAUAUCUUCCAAUUAGUGAGACUAUGAAUUCACUAGAAGAAUUGCCCAUUGACUUAAGUUGUUCUUCAGGUUAUGAGAAGACUACAUAUUCUGUAGUUGAUCAAGAAUCAUUAAGAAUGGAUGAAAACUUUGUUUUUUCAAGUGUCAGUUAUGACUACCAGGAAUGGUGGUCAUGUCUUGAAAAUGGAGUGUGGUGGCCAUCAGAGAAUGGAGAUUAUGGAUAUUAUAUGUUUCAUGAUGGUCAGUAUAUGUACUAUCUCCUCACUGAUUCUACUGGGCAGUAUGCCUAUUUGUUUAUACCUGAUUGUUCUUAUCAAGAAUAUUUGAAUUGUGAUUUACAAACAAAUGAUCUAUCAAGUAUUAUGUUGGAUGACAGCAUUAUAUCAGCCUGUAGUUUUAAAGUACAUGACAAGGAAGAUGAACUAUCCUGGUAUGUUGAAGAGGAACCAAUUGAUGACCCUCUUGAUUUAUCUGUAGUUUUGCCAAAAAGUGAGGGACCAGUGUAUCUAAAUUUAGGAACCUUUUCACAAGUACUUGAACAGUCAAGUUAUGGCCAAAAGGAUCAACCAUUAGAUUUUUCAGGCUAUAAUCUUCAAAAGUUUAAAGGAAAUUUUAGAUCUUUUGAAGAAGUGGUGUGUAGUUCUGAAGACUUUGAAUAUAUAUUGGAUCUCAGAAAUCAGCCCCAAACUAUUGAUAAUCAUGACUUAAAUAAAAAUCUUGUUAUAGAGAGAAGUAAGUAUCAGCUUCUUGCUAAGGAUGCAUCAAUUUACCCUUCCAGUUUCCAUUGGAUUCAGUCUUCUGAAGAAGCUACCUCUUUGGUUCAUUUUGAAGAUAUGACUAAUAGCCUACAGCAAACAGGAGAGAUGUCAUCAAUGAAAAAAGGAACCUCAUUAUUUUCUGCUUUGGGUGCUUUGGUUACAAGGACUUUGAAUUUUGAUGAGAAUGAAUCCUUAGAGUCUUUGGUUUUAAAGAAAAUGAAUCAGGAGUCAGACUUAGCAGAGCUCACAAAUGGUGGUGUUCAGUCAUUAAUCUUGAAUGAGCAAUUAGAGAAUAACUCCCAAAAUGAAGAAGGUCUUCUCAAGAAGGAUUUAGAAAGAAAAACAGUACCCAAUGUUCUGCAACCAGAAUUUAAAAAUAUGAAGCAAGAAUUCCCUUUAAAUAAAAGUAUUCAUGUGAAAAAACAAAGUUUGUUAAAAUCUGUUGUCCAGGUAAGCCAAAUAACUCCUCAGGCUAAAGCAGAUAUAGAAAAUGAGGAAAUCAUUACAGUUGACUCUGUUUCCAUUCCUCUUACAUCACAAUUCAGUAAGGAUGAACCCAAGAACUGUGAGCUUCUCCAUGACCAGUCUUCCAAAGAGUCUGAGAGAACAUUAUUUAAAAGUGCAUUGAAACUCUUUGGCCGGGGAGAAGACCCUUCAGUAAGUGUGGUGUCAAAUGGAAAACGGGCAUCUGGAUUUUUGAACCUUUUUAAAACCCAGGCAAAUAAAGAAGGAUCACCAAAUUUAGAAAAGAAUGAAGAUAAAAAUAUACCUUCUCAGCAAAAGAAUGAAUCUUCUGGUGUUUCAAAUUUUUUUGGUACCCUUGGGGACUUAUUUAAAACCAAUGUAUCUUCUAUACAGACAACUGAAAAUAUGUCUGUUUCCUCAAUGGUUAAUAAGGAUGAAGUCAAAUCAAGUCCUAAUCCUGCACAGCUAAAUAGCCAGGAUGUUGGGAACUUUUCUGCUAUGCCAGUUGCCUCUAAAAGGAAGGUUCAAGUUAGGAGUCUGAACAAGCAGAUUACUAUUGAUGACAGUGGGCUAAAAGAACCAUCAACUGUAGAUAUACAGAGUAAUAAUUUGACUGGAAAAGAGGUAUCUUCCAGAGACCACCUAAUCCAGCAAUCACCAAAUCCAUCGUUCUCAAGAAAUUGUCUCAAAGAGUCUUCCAGAGAUUCUUCAAUAGAAACUAACGUUGUGUCUACAGUGACAGAAGUUUCAGGAAGUAGUAAACUGUCUGUUGAUAUUCUGAGCAGAAGAAAUUCAAAUGAACAGGAUCAUUCUUCUGACCAAGACUGGAGUUUUUCAACUGCCACAACAUCUCCAUCUCAACCAGGGUUGCCAACCAGAAAGAGUAUAUUUUCUUUCCUGACUGGAUCUGAAAAAUCUGAGAACAGAGCCUCUGCUGCUCUACCAAGAACCAAAUCUCAAGCAGAAAGGCUAUUCACACUUCCUUCCUUUUUUUCCACUACUAACUCAAGCAGCAAGAAGGAUGCUGCUCAUAAUAGCCCUUUUAGUUUCUUCAGCUUGUCCUUUUUGGACGAAAAGCAGCAGACUCCUGGGGAAAAACAUAGCCUUUCAACAGUUGCUCCAGUGACUUCUCAGCCCUGUAAGAAGCCAAGUGUUUUUGUAGACAUGAGUGGCACAAUGACUAGAGAAGGUUCCAGUGGCAAUAGAGAUCACAUAAUCCAGGAGGUAGCUCAUGAACAGCAAAUAGUUCCUUGUGUUUCUAUUAGCAACACUACUGAGGUUACUUGCCUUACAGAUGAGCUCAAUGUAGAGGACUAUCAGGGAAAACUAGAUUCUAGUAACGGACCAGGGACAUCUUUAGCAAAUUUCCAGAUGAAUAAGUUGCAAGACGAUGUUCCUCAUUCACCAGGAUUUCAGGUACAAACUGAAACUCUGCUCAUUGGUCCAGAGACCCUUGGGGUAGCUCCCUAUGAAGAAGAGCCUUUCAUACAGGAAGUCUUCCCUUGUGACAACCUGGCCAAGUCUUUUUCACAUGAUAACCAUUUGACUAAAAAGCUCAACAAUUUAGACAGUUGUACUAACUACCACCACAAUGAAAGAUUUACGAGUGACCCUUUGAACUUGCCAUUAGAAAAGGCUCUUGAUGACACCUUAACACAGAUCCUGGAGGCAACCUCGCCCUCUGUGGAGCAAGGGUAUACAGGGCACCUCCAGAGCCUAGAGACAGAUAAAGAGGAAGACAAAUCAAUGUUGGGCUCUUCAGUAGAAAUGUUUUCAGGGUUUGUGACAAAAGUGAAAUCUUUCUCUGAGUGCUUAAUUGAACCUCCCAAAACUUUCUCUGGACUUUUCUCCUCUCCUAAACCUCCAACAAAAAACUCCUUUUUCUCUCUUUCUUCUCGUGCAUCAUCUCAGUCCCUCAAAGGUGAGUUACUUGGAAUUUUUAAAAGUCCCAAAUCAGAGACUCACAAACAAGAAUCGCCGAUCCCAGCUACUGCAUGGCCUCAAAAUGGUAGUUGCAGAGAUACUGUAGGAUUAGUACCUCCAGGAAAUUUAUGGGGAGAAACUUCCUCUCCAGCACUCAAUUCAGAAUCUACUCUCAGUGAGUGUAGAAUGACUGUGGUUAGUGCAAAGUCAGACUCAGAGAUCCUGAUAGAUGAUACUAAAUUAACAGCUGAAAUAGAAAACAAUAAUAUUCCUGACAAUAUUCUAGAAUCCCAAGAUUCUGAAACAAUUAGGGCUGCACCUUCUGUUUCAGAGGAUGAUACUGGACAAGGAGUAUUGUCUCUGAGUGAUGAAGGAGACAUGGGGUUGUUGCAGGGCACAGACACAGAGACAUCAUUGGAAGCAGAGCACAUUUCAUUGCCAUCACAGUUGGAUCCAGAUCCUACCUGUGUGGCCAAAGAGCUUCCUCCUCCAUUUCAGCCACCUAGUCCUCUUGAGCCAGAGCCAGCUAUGCAAUCUACCUCCACAAACCAAGACUUCUUGGAGCUACAGGCAGCCAAUUCAGUAGAAACCAAUACUCCACUAUUUAGUGAGGCAAAUGUUGGCCAGAGUGCCACACCAGAAACCCCAGGAUACCUUUCUCAACCACUCCUGGAGGAACCUGUGCUUUGUGCGAGAAAAAACUGUGAGAUACUUGAUACCCACAAAGAUCUACCUGCAGUCCCCCAAGAAACAGAGCAGCCAAGACCUCUUUUUGAGAUCCCAAAUAUGAGCAAUUGGCCAAAACUCCAUUUCCCAUCCUCUGCCACUGACUGUGGGAAACCACUGAGGUCUUUCUUUUCCCCACCUUCCUCCUCUGGCAGUAGAGCAGCAGAGCCUGGUUUAAUGGGCAGUUUUAAGAAGUUGUCAAAUCUAUUUGAGGGAGGUAGUGAGGGGAAAGGGAGUACACUGGCAGGUGAUCUAAAACUAAGGUUUGGAAAGAAGCUGGAUCUUUCAUUCACAUGGCCAAAAGAGAACAAAGCGGGCCCUGAACAAAUCCCUGCAGAAUCCUCUUCUCCAGUUUUGGUUAUCAGCGGCGAUCAGGAUCUUAACUCUAGUGAGGCUGACAAAACUUUAGAGGCUUCUCAAAUAGCUGGAGCUAGUGCUGAGCCAGCUACUCAGCCCUCUGGGACCUCUGAGCAGCUGGAGACCAAGCCAAGUAUAUAUACUCAAGAGCUUUCAGGGCCUGGAGAAAUGGAAAACCAGCAGGGAAUUUCAGCAUCUGGAGAGCACUGGGGUUCCAAAAGCAACCUCUCGACCUCCACCUGUACUUCAGGGAGUCAUAAGGAAGAACACUGCACUGUCACUGAGCUGCUUCACCAGCCAAAAACACAAGAGGAGGUGAUGCCUGCUAGCUCUGAGUCUCUUUCAGAUGUGCAGCAGCCAGUCACUUUGCAUGGCAUCAAGGAACCAGAGACCGACAAAGGGCCUGUUCUCAUUGAGCUACUUCACCAGCUAGAAAGACAAGAAGAGGAGGUGGUGCCUGCUAGCGCUGAGGCUCUUUCAGAUGUGCAGCAGCCAGUCACUCUGCAUGACAUCAAGGAACCAAAGACCAACACAAGCCCCACCAGCAGUAGUAGGUAUGGCUCCUCCUGUAAUGUGAGUCAAGGAAGCUCUCAGUUGAGUGAACUAGACCAAUGCCAUGAACAAGAUGAUGACCGUCGGGAGAGGGACUCGAUUCAUUCAUGCCACAGCUCUGGCAGCUUCUCCAGAGAUGGCCAAGUGGGCUUUGGAGAACAAGAGAAAGCCUUGGAGGUGACAGGUGAAGAGGAGAAGGGGACAGCAUGUGAACCCAAGGAGAGGAAAGAAGAUGCCACAAUCCAUCCUCCCCCAGAUCUGGUGCUACACGAAGACCGUGUCCUAGGCCCCCAGGAGAGCUUUCCUGAGGAGAAGGCUUCUUCACCGUUUACCCAAGCCAGAGCGCACUGGAUCCGAGCAGUUACCAAGGUUCGACUCCAGUUGCAGGAGAUUCCAGAUGAUGGUAACCCCUCUCUGCCCCAGUGGCUCCCAGGAGGGCCAGCUGGAGGGCUCUAUGGCAUUGACAGCAUGCCAGAUCUACGUAGAAAGAAGCCACUGCCACUUGUCAGUGAUCUGUCAUUGGUCCAGUCCCGGAAGGCAGGGAUUACUUCUGCAAUGGCUACACGCACAUCUCUCAAAGAUGAAGAGCUGAAAUCCCAUGUGUAUAAGAAAACCCUGCAGGCCUUAAUCUACCCCAUCUCGUGUACCACACCCCACAACUUUGAGGUCUGGACGGCCACUACCCCUACCUACUGCUAUGAGUGUGAAGGUCUGCUCUGGGGCAUUGCCCGGCAGGGCAUGCGCUGCAGUGAGUGUGGAGUCAAGUGCCAUGAGAAGUGCCAGGAUCUGCUCAACGCUGACUGCCUGCAACGGGCUGCAGAAAAGAGUUCUAAACAUGGAGCUGAGGACAGGACCCAGAACAUAAUCAUGGCCAUGAAGGACCGCAUGAAGAUCCGAGAGCGGAAUAAGCCAGAGAUCUUUGAAGUUAUCCGGGAUGUCUUUACUGUGAGCAAAGUUGCCCAUGUGCAACAGAUGAAAACAGUGAAGCAGAGUGUACUGGAUGGCACCUCCAAAUGGUCGGCCAAGAUUACCAUCACUGUGGUGUGUGCCCAGGGCCUACAAGCCAAGGACAAGACAGGAUCCAGUGACCCUUACGUGACUGUGCAAGUGGGCAAAACCAAGAAGCGUACCAAGACUAUUUUUGGGAAUCUGAACCCUGUUUGGGAAGAGAAGUUCCAUUUUGAGUGCCACAACUCUUCUGACCGCAUCAAGGUACGUGUAUGGGAUGAAGAUGAUGACAUCAAGUCAAGAGUAAAACAGCGGCUUAAACGAGAGUCUGAUGAUUUCCUUGGUCAAACCAUUAUUGAGGUCCGGACACUGAGUGGCGAGAUGGACGUCUGGUACAACUUGGAGAAGAGGACAGAUAAAUCAGCUGUCUCAGGGGCUAUCCGACUACAAAUCAGUGUGGAGAUCAAGGGGGAGGAGAAGGUAGCACCGUAUCAUGUGCAAUAUACGUGUCUCCAUGAGAACCUUUUCCAUUACCUCACAGACAUUCAGGGUAGUGGAGGAGUCCUGAUUCCUGAGGCUCGAGGAGAUGAUGCAUGGAAGGUGUACUUUGAUGAGACUGCCCAAGAAAUUGUGGAUGAAUUUGCCAUGCGCUAUGGCAUCGAGUCCAUAUAUCAGGCCAUGACGCACUUUGCAUGUUUGUCAUCCAAGUACAUGUGUCCUGGUGUGCCAGCAGUGAUGAGCACCUUACUGGCCAACAUCAAUGCCUACUAUGCCCACACAACCGCCUCCACCAAUGUCUCUGCAUCUGAUCGCUUUGCAGCUUCCAACUUUGGGAAAGAGAGAUUUGUAAAACUACUGGACCAGCUGCACAACUCACUGAGAAUUGACCUCUCUACCUACAGGAAUAAUUUCCCUGCUGGAAGCCCUGAGCGGCUUCAGGACUUGAAGUCAACAGUGGAUUUGCUGACCAGCAUUACUUUCUUCAGAAUGAAGGUGCAAGAACUGCAGAGUCCUCCAAGAGCCAGCCAGGUGGUAAAAGAUUGUGUGAAGGCCUGUUUGAACUCCACAUAUGAGUAUAUCUUCAACAACUGCCAUGACUUGUACAGUCACCAGUACCAGCUGAAACAGGAGCUACCUCCAGAGGAACAAGGACCCAGCAUUCGGAACCUGGAUUUUUGGCCCAAACUCAUCACACUCAUUGUGUCAAUCAUAGAGGAAGAUAAGAAUUCCUACACACUCGUUCUGAACCAGUUUCCUCAGGAGUUGAAUGUGGGAAAAGUCAGCGCAGAAGUGAUGUGGCAGCUCUUUGCCCAAGACAUGAAAUAUGCACUGGAGGGUGGUUUGAGCAGUUUGUCCUGCAGUGGCUGGAUGAGAAUGAAGAUGUGUCCCUGGAAUUCCUACGUGGGGCCCUGGAACGAGAUAAGAAGGAUGGGUUCCAGCAGACAUCAGAGCAUGCGCUCUUUUCUUGCUCUGUGGUGGACGUCUUCACACAGCUCAACCAGAGCUUUGAGAUCAUCCGGAAGCUGGAAUGCCCAGACCCCAACAUCCUAGCCCACUACAUGAGGAGAUUUGCUAAGACCAUCGGGAAGGUGCUGAUGCAGUAUGCAGACAUCUUAUCAAAGAGCUUCCCAGAUUAUUGCAAAAAGGAGAAAAUGCCCUGCGUCCUGAUGAACAACAUGCAGCAACUGAGAGUCCAGCUGGAGAAAAUGUUUGAGG